GACAGUAAGAAAGUUUUUAGGCCGUGCGUAUAAAGACGGUUACAUUGACAUGCGCGAAAGCUGGAUUCGGCUUUAGUGAUACGCAGUGGAAUUCCGGCCAUGUCAACAGCCGACGAUAUCGUGUUUUUCGGUUGCAAGUCAGACAUCAAUGAAAUGCUGAAUCACAUACCAUAGCCCCAGGAGGUCUUCCUGCUUAGACGCUCAUCUCCAACUUUUAACUUU